AAAGUGAAGUCGCUCAGUCGUGUCCGACUCUUCGCAACCCCAUGGACUGCAGCGUACCAGGCUCCUACGUCCAUGGGAUUUUGCAGGCAAGAGUACUGGAGUGGGGUGCCAUUGCCUUCAAACACCUAGCCCAAUACAUUUCUUCAGCCCAGAUUAACACGAAUGUCUGCCAAAACUGGAUCCUCAGGGUGAUUGGUAUGUGGGAUGAACGACUGAAAAAGAAGGAACACCUGGUUUGAGGCAACACAUGGAAAGUCCUGCCCUGGCUUUCAGAGGUUUCAGGGGAGGUGACUGACUGUGGCCAGCCCUGUAUCUGCAACCAACUAACUUUCAUGAGAAAUGCAGUCCUAACCCA